rnacentral:rRNA from 1 species
UACGGAGGGAGCUAGCGUUGUUCGGAAUUACUGGGCGUAAAGCGUGCGUAGGCGGUUUGUUAAGUCUGUUGUGAAAUCCCCGGGCUCAACCUGGGAAUGGCAAUGGAUACUGGCAGGCUAGAGUGUGUCAGAGGAUGGUGGAAUUCCCGGUGUAGCGGUGAAAUGCGUAGAGAUCGGGAGGAACAUCAGUGGCGAAGGCGGCCAUCUGGGACAACACUGACGCUGAGGCACGAAAGCGUGGGGAGCAAACAGG